GCUCUGCCCACCGGCCCUCCCGGCGUCCCCCCCCAAAGUGGCACUCGCCGUCCCCGCCUGCUCCGCUCCAGCGCCCGACCGAGGGACGAUGACCAAGCUGCUGCUGGGCCUCUCGGCCCUCCUCUGCCUGGUGGACGGGGCCGAAGCCGUACGCUGCCAUCACUGCCUGGAGUUCAAGGAUGGGAAGUGCAUUUUGGGCCCGGGGGACUGCAGACCGAAAGCGGGGGAGUCCUGCGUGACCCAGAAAAUCGUCACCUUUGGCGCAGGUAUUAAGAAUUAUGAGAAAUUCGUCACCGGGUGUGUGAAGAACUGCCGAGAGAGGAGGUUCCCCGUCUGGCCCAACCAGCAAGCCCACAUCAGAUGUUGCAAAAACCGUGACUUCUGCAAUGACCCAAACAUUCCCUUUGCUGUGCCCCUCUGAUUCCGGCCGGCGGGGAGCUCCCUCGACUGUGCCCUCCUCCCGACCCCCCUAAAAAUCCACCCUCCCUGUCCUUUCCGGCUGCCAGCUUGCUUAAACCCUCUAAGGUCCCCCGGCCCUCCACUCCCGUUGCUUCCCGAUAAAGGUUUCUGGCUCAGAUGCCCGGAGUGUAGCUUUUGGGAGGGCCAGGGUGAGGAAGCUGGGAGGCAAGUUGGCGAAGGUUGAGGGGCUGGGAGGGCAAAGGGCAGAGAAGUUUUUAGGGCAUCUGCUAAGCGUUUAUUAUGCGACAAGCACUGCUCUAAGCUCUGGUUCAGUCUUGCUUCCCAAGUGCUUGUGCAGUCUCAUCUCCCUGGGCCAGUGAACCACCAGCGAUGCCCUCCGGUGCCAACUCACCGGCCACCCAGUGCAGCACUCCGUCCCUGGCGGGGUGCCAGGAUGUCCGGAGGAACAGUGUGCUGGACACCCCUCUCACGGUUACGGACGGACCAUCCAAUCUCCCGGACUCUGCCCUGCUGACCCGGCAUAGGCCAUACAAACCCCCAACUCUCCACUCUCCAUCCCUACCUCUUCCCCGGUGACCCAACACAGUCCAUCCCACAUCCCUGACUCUCCCCUCUCUAUCCCUGAGUUUCCCCCAGUGACCCAACAUGGACUGUCCAAAGGUCCUGACUCUUCCCUCGGCAUCCCUGACUCUCCCCAGGUGACCCAAUAUGGACCAUCCAAAACCCCUGGCGGGGCUGAGAGAAGGCCAGAGAUGGGGUCCAGGUGCCGGUCCCGAAGCAGGACAGAACAUGGCCUACCCCGUGCAGCGCAGUGACAUUCGGACUCUGGAAGUCGGGGAGACCGGGCCUGGCUAGGUUUGGGGAGCAGGGUUGUUUGAGAAGGAAGGGGAAGGGCUGGCAGAGGGAAACGAGCGUCACCUGCGGAAUCUGGGGCGGCGCCUCGGCCUACGGGAUCUUCGGGCCUGGAGCCCCCUGCCCGCAGGGCGGUUGCAGAGGGGCUGGUGGCCACAGCGGUUGGUCACGGACCUCCUUGUAGCCCUCAUCUCUGGCCUUGUUCCUGCAGUGAGGCUGGCAGGUGGCUGAUCUGACUGGCUGUAGGGCAAGAGGACAAUCAUCACAGAUGAUGUUUAUUGAGCGCUCACUGUGUGCGGAGCGCUGUACUGAGCACUUAGAAACCACCCUGGAAAGGCCCGACAGAGGCUCGGCUGCCCUCGAUUCCUCCUCCCUCUGCUCCAGCCCCACCCACCAAGGAUGUCCAGUUCAAUAACAAUAAUAAUAAUAAUGUUUUUGUUAAGCGUUUACUAUGUGGGCAAGCACCGUUCAAAGCACUGGGGUAGAAACAAGCUAAUGAA
rnacentral:lncRNA from 1 species